UAAUGCCUGAGGUAUCUGAUGCUCUGACUUAUAUUAUAGCUGGGUGUCUCGUUUAGAUGGCAGAAAAUGAGAAAUAAACAGGUCUUGCGACACAGGUUGCUUCAACGUUUGUUAGCUUCCUGUUACUUAAUCCCUGCUUACAUCU
rnacentral:snoRNA from 1 species